UACGUAGGGGGCAAGCGUUGUCCGGAUUCAUUGGGCGUAAAGAGCGUGUAGGCGGCCAGGUAGGUCGGUUGUGAAAACUGGAGGCUCAACCUUCAGAGGUCGACCGAAACCAUCUGGCUAGAGUCCGGGAGAGGAGAGUGGAAUUCCUGGUGUAGCGGUGAAAUGCGCAGAUAUCAGGAAGAACACCCGUGGCGAAAGCGGCUCUCUGGAACGGUACUGACGCUGAGACGCGAAAGCGUGGUGGAGCGAACAGG
rnacentral:rRNA from 1 species